rnacentral:lncRNA from 1 species
UCAAUAAAAUUGUGAAUAGCGACCCUUUUGGACCAAAAGGAAAAAUAACCUGAUCUAGAGAGAGAAGCACCGAUCGAGCAAGCAAGCGUAUGAUCUCCGAGACAAAAUCAGGUCCUCACGACUUUCAACCGCCUGGCACUUGAUCUUCAAUCGCUCGCCAAUGGAGGAAGACCUUUACCUCCGACCGGAGCUCGGGAAAGAAUAGCAAAACAGAACCGAGGGAGAGAGUUCAGAAUCCACAACCCGAACGGAUUGAAACCGCAAACGAAACCCUAACGGAUCGAGAGUGAUAGAAAGAGAACUCACCGAUCGAGCAAACUCGAUCCAGAGAGAAGAAAUCGGCCAAGAGUCGCUGUCGUCACCGCUAGUCCGCUUCGGAUCUGAACCUCCUCCCACCAACGCAGUCUCCGUCGAUGUCGCUGAUAUUACCGAUCAGAUCCGGCGAGUCAAAUCCGGAGAGUAGAGAAUCAAGAGAGGGAGGUCCGCCAAGAGAGACUCAGAUCCGGUGGAACCAGAACCGCCGGCGUCGUCGUUGUCGUUGUCACCGCCGCUGAUCGGCUUCGCAUCUAAAUCCCUCACCUCGAGCUCCUUCGCCGGCGGUUACUCUAUUUUCGAUUGAGCGGGCGAGAACAAUCCGCCGAACUAGAACAAAGAGAGAUACAAAUCGAGAGCGGCUGUCACGAUUGGUUGUUGUCGCCGCCGCUUCCAAUCGAUCAAAAUCCCCCGAAAACCCUAGACGUUGAGCCACUGAUCGGAGCCCAACCCGAUCAAGAGCCAGAUCUCUCCGAGCCUUCUAUCAGCACCGCUGUCAUGG